UAGUUAUGCUUUUUUUUUUGGGUCUAGUUUGGGCCUUUGUUUGUGGUGUAAUAAAACAGCCUUAGAAAGCCUAAAAAACUGGCGGUAAGUUUGUUGUGUUGGUCUUGACUGUAUAGACAUGUCAAGCAGGGGAUGCGUUGAGACUUAAGAGAGAGGGAGAGAGAGAGAGAGAGAGAGAGAGAGAAGGCAAGGACAGUGAGUCGCUGAGGGCAAAGGAUGAUUGAAAUGAUAGGAGCAACAAGCAGGUGGAUUUCUACCUGCUCAGUAUUUGUUUAUGGGUUUUGAGAUUAGAGUGUGAAAGAGGGAAGCAGAUGAUAAAAGGGGAUUCUCUGUGGUUCUUGGUACUUUGGCUCAACACAACAGGUGUUUGUUGUUAACCAAAAAGAACUGUGAUGCUUCAGAAGUUUUCAAGUGCAUGCAUGACGAUAUUGGUAAAAUGCCAUUCCUUUGUAUGCUACUAGCUGGAAUUCCCUGCCGUCAUUUCUUUGGUUGUUUUGUUGAUAGUUAUUAUUUGCCUUUUUUAAAGACUACUUGCUUUUAUUUUAAUUAUGUUAUUCAGCCAGAAAGAAAGUUCCUUUUUUUCCUUAAUUACUCUCUCUCAAGUCUUCUGUCUUACCUAAUUAGCUUCCAUUCUUCAACAACAGAGGCUUUGUAGUUUGUACUACCAUUACACUAACCUUCAACUUGCAUAAGAUCAAUGCACUUCGCUGUUUCUUUUUA